rnacentral:rRNA from 1 species
UACGGGGGGAGCAAGCGUUGUUCGGAUUUACUGGGCGUAAAGGGCGCGUAGGCGGCCACCGCAAGUCGACUGUGAAAUCUCCGGGCUUAACCCGGAAAGGUCAGCCGAUACUGCGGGGCUAGAGUGCAGAAGGGGCAACUGGAAUUCUCGGUGUAGCGGUGAAAUGCGUAGAUAUCGGGAGGAACAUCAGUGGCGAAAGGCG